GCGCACCAGGCGCGAAAACUUUACAAUGUGCGAAAGCACGAUAAGGGAACUCUGAGUGCCUCCUAAGGAGGCUGUUCAGGUGUCUAAAAAGCACCUGAAGGAAGGGCUGGGUAAGACCGGUGCCAGCCGCCGCGGUAACACCGGCAGCCCAAGUGGUAGCCACGGUUUAUUGGGUCUAAAGCGUCCGUAGCCGGCUGGGUAAGUUCCUUGGGAAAUUUGGCUGCUUAACAGUCAAGCUUUCAGGGAAUACUGCCCGGCUUGGGACCGGGAGAGGUCAGAGGUACUCC
rnacentral:rRNA from 1 species